UAGCAUGCAUCCAUUGUGGGUGUAACAGGUGAUUACAGCCAAGCAAUAUCUGUGAUCAUUUUUGCGUUGGUGUAGUUUAAGGAAAAAGCCCUAUUUUUGUAUUGCCACGUUGCUACCGAUAACUGUGACAGCUCUGCAGCCAGAACAUUUGUUUAAAAUUUUAUUUCCGCUCGUAACUUCGAAGAUAAAAUGGAGAGGGACUCCACCGGUGCUGAAGAAAAGACUGAGCCGGCUUCGCCUUUGAGGAAAGAUAUUAAUGACGACACCUGUGCAGCUGAUUCCCACACCUCCCAGACUGAGACCUGUGGUCCUACUGAUGUCGCCCGAGCCAGGUGGACUCUACUACGACAGGUGUUGCGUCAGAAGCAGGUGGACAAUCCAGAGGUCAAACAGGCGUCUGUUCGAAGGUUCGCCUCGUUCGACCUCUUCAGCAGGAAAAGGCUUGUGACACAAGACCCCAGUGAUACCUCAGAUGACCAGUGGGUGGAGUACAGAAGUGUCUACUUUCCAGAGUACAGUGCCUUACUCAGGGACAGCCUGGGGCCUCUUAGAGUUAAUGAAGUGCUCAACAGUUUUGACAACACUGGUAAUGUCUGUGUGUGGCCGUCUGAAGAGGUGAUGGCUCAUUACUGCCUGCAGAAACGUCACAUGUUCAAGGGUGCAGUGUGUGAGUUAGGGGGAGGUAUGACUUGUCUUGCGGGGCUCAUGGUUGCCAUUUGUGCUGACGUGAAGGAAGUUCUGCUAUCAGAUGGGAACGAGAAGUCCAUUCAGAAUGUACGAGGGCUGGUCGAGAGAAACAGGCGAGCUGGAAAGUUUGGGUCAGCACAUGUAUCUGCCAGGGUGGUGAGGUGGGACUGUGAGCCUGACAUUUCGGCACUAGAGGGUCACUUUGACAUUGUCAUGUGUGCAGACUGUUUGUUUGUCGACCAGUACAGAGCCAGCCUGGUUGAUGCUAUAAGGAGAUUACUGCAACCUGACGGCAUGGCGUUGGUGUUCGCUCCACUGCGAGGCGAAACUCUGAGACUGUUUUGUCAACUGGCCCAGCGGGCUGGACUCUGCGUCUCUCAACACCAGCAGUAUGACGCUCAGGUCUGGGAUGUUCACUUAAAGAUGCAGAGAGAGGGAAAAGAAGCGUACGACGAGAACAUCCACUAUCCUCUCCUCAUCACCCUGACCAAAGGACCUCAACCUGUCAGCCACUCUCAGUAAACCAAAACAAAGUUAAGUAGUUCAGAGGACACUUCAUAGGUGGCUGCCUGUUUCGCCAUGACCUGCAAUUCAACAUAGAAAAUAAAGCCAUCGAGUAUGAGUUGACGUGGCAGAGUGGGAGCUACCACCACCAACCCCCCCACCCCGUCGCACCCACGUGCACACAAACACACACCACAAUCACAGUCCUCCUCGUACACACACCUGAUGCUGGCCUUGACAACAAUAAUGUUUUCCAUUACAGGAGAUGGAAUUGAGAAAUAUGUGGAGGUGGAAUUCUGUGGUAUUAAUAUAGUCACCUGGAGCUGGGUGGAAUAGGAUACUGUCUAUACAGAGUGGGAAACGUGUGGCUUUUACCCUGUUUAUUACAGCGUAUCUUUUAAAGGAACAAGCUUUUGUCACUUAUGGAUGUGUUUCACACACGUAAACACUCAAAAUCUGUUCUGUGUUGACUCCCACUUGUUCUCUCGGAGGCUUUCCUGGCUCUAUAGGCUGCUUGUAUUUAUCCUCAUUUACCUGUUCAGCCCUUCCAUCUCUAAUACCCAUUAAACCUCUCCAUUCGCAUGUGCAGGAGGCUGAGUUGACUGACUGACUUAUUAGCUGACUGACUGGAGCGAGCUGAGGUCAGUCUGGAGGCUGGCAAUAUACACACACACACACGCUAUUAUAUAUGCACAUUCACUGGGUACAGUGAUGCUUACACACAAGCUUAUAGUAGGCUGUUAAUUGAAGGGGCUGUGCUGUUGACGAAAGCCCUCAACUUAUCGCUGAUUAGGUCAGGCUUUUGGAAGUAAGAGACAAGGAGCGAGAGAGAGAGAGAAAGGAAACAGACUGCGAGACAUAUAGAACGACACAAACGGUUUGUGUUGGUUGAGAGUCUCUCCUGUAAAUGUUGACAGUCUCUUGUGGCAGUAUUUACCCUACUUUUAAUGGUAGAGGGCCGACAUUAGCCACUGUAGGAGCCGGGCUGAAUUAACACCUGCCUCUCUGCAUACAAGCAGCUGCUCUCUGUGCUUUUGUCUGCCUGUGACUUUGUCAGUCAGUUAAUCAGUGAGGCCAUCAAUCAGCCUGUGAAACAGUGAGUUUUUCAGGGAGCCACCAAAUCUUUACGUUUAAUGAAUGAGACAACCAGUCAGUAAAUUCAGCAACCAACCAAGCAGCCAGUUGUAUUGCUCGUGUGAUUAUUUUGUACGUAAUUAUUUGAUACAACAAUUAAACCAGGCUCCCUGUUGAUAUCCAACUAAUAUUUUAAAUGAGAAAAUUAACAUGUAUAUUUUUCAAGAUUAUUUACAAAUUAAAAUAAAAAAGUAAUUCCAUGCAUAAUUUGCCCCCUUGAUUCAUUAAAGACCCCCUCUAGGCAGGUAUUAAGACAUGUAGUAUAAAAAUACUCUGCUUGGAAUGUCUGAUGUUUUUUUUUUUCCACAAAACAUUUGUUUAGUCUGAGUCUUCAUACAUACACCUUACGUCUACAUCUGCAUUACACCUUCUCUCUACCUACCUCACUGAAAGACCCUGAAUCAAUGAAUAUGUAAAUAUUUGUUAUUUCUAAGGUUUAGCUGCUGGACACGAGAGAUCUCUGAGAUUUCAGGUGAGCAGCAGCAGAAUGUGAAAACAGCCUUCUGGUGUCAAACUCACCACAGCAUACAGCACAUCACGCUGCAGAGUGAAGGCCAAGCAGCCAGGUGAAGCAACAAUGAGCAGAGCACAUUUUUGACUGUAUGGAAGCUUUAACCUUUAAGCUGCAAUCUUGGAUUCAAAUGUAAA